GUUAAAUCAAUGAUGUCGCCUCAUCCAAUUCAGAAGAAUUUCAGUGCAAAUAAAGAUCUAAAAUGCAUUUGUUGCUUGUGACGUCUGUUCUACUCAUGGAUUUGUUGCAAAUAAAUAUCCUUUGACCUUAACGGUACAAAACACAACAAUAAGUUCCCCACAGUCAAGUUCUUUCAUGGAAGCACCUGGGGAUGAUUCCCUUAGUCAAGGAACAAUUGCGUAUUCAGCAAAAAUGCAGUGCAACUGCUAUCUCAAGUUGCCAAUUUACCAAAGCACCAAAGAAACUAAGUGAAUCAAUUUGAAAGCAACAUCAAAUUGGAAUUAAAGGGUUUAAGAUUGACAUGCUGCAGCCUAUACAUUUUUAACCCAGAAAUCUUCAAUUUAU
rnacentral:misc_RNA from 1 species